GUUUUUUCUUUCGUUUCCCCUGCCCGAGUAGACAUGGUAUUUGAAAAUAUCCUUUAAGACUGAUGUCAAAAAGUGUACUGCCUGUAUUUUCUUCUGGGAGUUUUAUGGUUUCACAUUUUACCUUCAAGUUCUUAAUCCAUUCUGAGUUAACUUUUGUGUGGUGUAAGAUAAUAGUCUACUUUCUUUCUUUUGCAUGUGGCUGUCCAGUUUUCCCAACACCAUUUAUCGAGGAGACUUUUCUUUCUCUAUUGUAUGUUCUUGGCUCCUUUGUUGAAGAUUAGCUGUCCAGAGAUGUGUGGGUUUUGUUUCUGGGCUGUCAAUUCUGUUCCAUUGAUCUGUGUGCCUGUUUUUGUGCCAGUACCAUGCUGUUUUGAUUACUAUGGCUUUGUAGUACAUUUUGAAGUCAGGGAUUGUUAUGUAAAAGGAAAUUCUUAAUCACUUUGUUGAUAUGAGAUGGGGUCAGUUGAACUGGUCCUGGAAAACCUGUGGUUACAAAAAGACUUCUCAGUGAUUUUUUUUUUAAUGUUCUAGGUUCUCCAAUGUAUUAUUUAGCAGUGACCAUCUCACCAAUUACUACUGUUGUCCUCAUUUUAUGUACGAGGAGACUGAGGCUUGGAUAAAGUAAAUACAGCAAGUGACACAGCUGACUUCUGCAUCAUUGCCUACCUGGAGGAAAACGCGCACCACUAACAUUUCUGAAGUUUACAUCCUUCUUGUUUGUGAGAAAGCCAGACCUCACUGGACUCUCCUGGUGCCAAAUCCACAUUUUCAAGGAAGAGCUCUGAUGGCCCCGCUCAGGUUCCGGGGCCUCCACCGCUGGUCCAUUGCAUGGCUGUGGGUGAGGAGGAAGCCCUGGGAGUCUUGCUGUAACCAUAGGGACGUGAAGUUUCUAGAAAGCGGGCGCUGGGCAGCCGAUCCUCCAGGAGUCCCCACCUGCUCAUACGUCUGGCGGGGGUUUAUCAAGCACACACCUGCACCGCUCUACAGACAUCCCAAGUGCACACACUGCCGGGAGGGUAGGGACUGCCUGUCUCAGUGGUGGCCCCUCCCAGCUCAGCCCAGGCCUGCGGGAGGGGGCAGGGGCGGUAGGACUGCUGUGACACCAGGCUUUGGUGGAGGGGACUCGGGCUGGUUUCUCUGUGACUGACGGGUAUAGCUUACUCAGGCAGGUCCAGCCGAGGGAGUCAACUUGAGAGGCUGGUGUUUGCAAGUCCAGAAAAGUGUUUUAUGUGGGAAAUAACACCUGGUCCUCCUUCAAGAACCGGCUUUCGAGUGCACAGCCGCUGCGGCCGGGGAGCCCUGUGCAUCCUUGCACUGCUCUGAGUGCGAGGAAUUCAGCCGCUGCCUCCAGAAGGGAGGAUGCGGGGGCGUGGACAGCACCGUUCCCAGCCUCAGCGCUGAGUGCAGGGACCUCCAUCCCCAUGGAUGCCUCGAGCCCUCGGGAAACGGCAGGAGGGAGGGCUGUUCCCCAAACACGUGGUUUUGGGACAAAACUCCAUACUAAUCUGAGUCUUUCCAGCUCACAGACGCCAUCCCUGCCCUCACUGUGCUGUGACUUUGGAUGAGUCACUUCUCUUGGGGCCUCAGUUUCUCUAUCAGAAACAAGAAUGACACCAUCCCUGCCUUCUUCCCAGCACCUGAAAAGAUAUUUGAUAGCAAAGUGGUUUCAAUACUAUAUGCAAAAGCAGUGCAAGUUUUAUUGUGGUAAAGGUAUUUAUGAUCAUUAUUUCACCUCCGGGGAAAUUCUAAAUCCUUUGAGGCCAUGGGCCGCUCAACAGAGGCAGAGCUGGGGGCAAGCUUUCCUCUGAACCAUCCCUCCCAGACCUAGAGCUGGCUCCACAUUUCUGCCGCUGAGUGAAUAUUUCAGGGAGCUUUCAUCUAGAAACCCAGGAGCCUGAAAAUGAGUUGGGUCUCUCUUGCCUGUGUGACUGUGGGCAUUUAAUUAACCUCUCUGGGCUUCAGUCUCAGCAUCUGUAAAAUGGGCUUCUAGAGGCACUUACCUCUUAAGUCGUUAAUGAGUGUGACACCCUUGUGCCUGGCAGCGGGCCGUGCUCACUCAGGGUUUGCUCUGUGCGUCAUAUCACAGCGUGCCAGGUGCCAGGCCGCGUGCUCGGCACAGAGGGAUGAAGAGCACAUGACCCUCGUGGGCAUCCAGAGGAGGUGGGCACCCAAGGCACAUUGUAAAGCAAUGUGGCAAACCCAAGGGAAGCCAUCCAUCUGCCCCUGGGAUCAGGCCCACACCCAAGCUCCCCCUGGGGCUUCGGGGAGAUGGGUCAGGCGAGGCAGGCAGACACCACCAUCCCGGCCUCUCUGCAGGGCAGACAGCUCUAGGACUUAACUGUCCCCAGGAUGCAGAGGAAGGCACGCCUCCUCUUCGCUCAGGCUCACAGGGAACACUUUCAGGCGAAAACCCUUUUUUAAAGAAAAGUAAUUGCCCCACAUUUUCACCCUAGGCAACGGUCACAUAGAGCACAUCUCGUAGAUGGGAUAAUGCAGUCAGCAAAACUGACACCACACAGAGUGCCCGUGACGUGGAAAAGCACCCACACGGGGCACCGUGGAGUUGUGGGCCUGCUCCGCUGGCCCCUGGGAUCAGGAGGGGACAGCAGGCAUUGCUCAGGAACUGUUAGCUGUGUGAAAACCUACUGCCGCCUGGGACCACGGACAUUGGGGUGGGGUGCCUGGACCUAGAGAAGGGGC
ensembl:lncRNA